GUAGAGAUGGCUCAAUGGUUAAGAGCACUGACUGCUCUUCCAGAGGUUCUGAGUUCAAAUCUCAGCAACUACA
rfam:Rattus norvegicus chromosome 5, whole genome shotgun sequence.